AACCCAGGACCUUCACGUUGAACAAAGGAGAGAGACCCCCUUUUCCUCCAGUUUGUUUACCAAUGAACGAACGCGUGUCUACAGCAGAGUGGGGGGGAAAUAAAGGAAGCGAACGCGUAAAUAGAAGCAAAGUCAAAUUCAAAUUAAAAGGUCAGCAAAAAAUCCACCUUCAUCUCCCACUCUUUUCUUUCAUUCUUACCCUUUCUUUUUUUCUCGCCUAACCCCUUAAGAUAAGUCUAAUUUCUUGUGGGCAAAUAAUUAAUCAACCCCAAACCCCAAAAGAACUCCCCCGCCAUCCCUUCUCCUUAUAUCGAAUUUCUCUUUCUUUUUCGUUCUCUCCCUCUUUCUUCCCCCGCUCCCCACCCCAGUAGCUAAACUUGAAAUGCAUGAAAACUGUUCCUUCAGACAUUUUUUUUUUCUUGUUUCAGAACUACUUUGGUAGAUUCAUUUUGAUUUGGAAAACAAGCAAACAAACCUCGCUAUAUUGAAUGCAAUUCCCUAAAGAUGUAGGUCAAAGCACCUUGAGAAAUCUGAAGCAGUGUCGUUAGGGUCACUUUAUAUUAAGUUCAGGUGUUUCUUGCGUGAGGAACCAGCUUAAUAACUGAAAUGGCGACAUUUUAGAUUUUGUUUCAUGCGAAUCGUUCUUCCUAGUCUGUUAUAAAAUUGUUCUCUCCGUUGGUUUCUCUCUGGAGUACUUUUGUAAAAAUAUUUCCCCUGCAAAUACUGAAUGAAACGUUCUUCUCCUUUCUAACAACCCCCAAGCCCGCAAACUUUCAUCAUUCCUGCUUUCAUUGACGCAGAAGCUCUGCACAGGUUUGUUAAUAAACUUCCCAAAAUUGCAUCAAAAUAAAUAUAUCAAUGGGAGAUAGUACAGAAGUAUCCUCUACUCUUAGGGUAUAAGUCUGGACAUUCCCCACCCCUUUUCAGGAAAUUACGACAAUUAAAUAGAAUGAAAUUUUAAAAUAUUGGGUAUUUUAGGGGUGCUUUAUUCAGCAGAAAGGUUGUCCGAUCAAACACGGUUUUUUACUUGACCUUAUUUUCAUUGAUUAAACUCCAAGCAAAUAUCUAUGUGUGUUUAUUUCUUCUUAAUUUCCCUACUCCAGUCUCGUUCAGUCUUUAUGAUCCUGUCUCCCUUCUCCUUCUCGCUUUCUCCCUCUCUUUUAACUUAACGAUCUCAGAAUAAUAACUGGUAUUACAGAUAUAAAGAUAUGUUGAACGAGGUGCUUUCAUUGUGCUGUUUCCUUUAUUAGACGUUUUCUAAACAGGCUAGCAAUUAAGCCAAAUUAUUAUUUAGUGUAUAUCAAAUUGACUACACUGUUAGAAUCCCGCUUUGACAAUGAUGUCUAUAGUUUUGGGUGGUUGUGUGUGUGUGUGUGUGUUUUUAAAGGAAUCUGACACUUUGUGGCUAAAUCCAUGAAAAAGAGAAGAAUAAUACUAGACCAUGAGAAUAUUAAUACUACCAAUACUUAUAAUGGCAGCUGGGAACAGAAUUAGCUAAACGGCUGGAAUCUCAAGAUCAUUACGACGGAUCUGAAACCUUUUAAAGAGUUCAUAGUCAUUCUCAAGGAGUGGGAGGGAAGGCUUUUCAAAUAGAAGAGGAAAACGGUGAGGAAAAUUGAGCCAGAAAGUUUGGUAGGCUGUGGGGUUAUGUGGAGAGAAUUGAGGAACUUGACCAAUUUCAGUAAUGUAUAUUUUGGUGUUAUUGUUUUAAAUGCAGUGCUGGCUGCCCAAAGCCAUCAGACCUUGACGACAAUGUUUUCUACAACAACUGUUUUACAAUUCCACUCGGCUGUUGCUUCGGAAGGGCUUGCAGCCUGCUGGCCCCCACCUUCAAAACCAGCCCCCUCCACAUCUUCAAGGGUGAGAAGUUUUAAUAUCUUAGGCCAAGGAAGUCUUAAACCGCAUCAUUCUAUUUGUCUCAACCACCCCCCACCCCCACCCCCGACCGCCCCACAAUCCACCUCCACCCCGAAAUACAGCCACGCUAAGAGCUUUUUUCCCUGCACUUUAAACGCCGUUUGCUUCCUCUGGAAAGCUAUUUGAGACUUUAUAGCCUCUAUUUGUGUUAUCUGCAUAGGUCUUUUUAAAACAGUUUGAUAGAAAUCGUUCAGUUUUAUGAUAUCCAACGAAAAUUCCACAUAAUAUUUAUAAGCAAAGAAUAAAACUUUAGCAUGGGAACCAAUACUUCCUCAUUUAUAGGUGAUGAAAUUAAAGACCAAUGCAGUUUGGCAUUAUAUGGCUUUUUUCCCGUUCUCUCCCUCCACCCCCACCCACCCCUCCCCCACCCUUCCCUUCUUUAUUUUUUUGCAGAUCAUGUGGCUGACUCAAUAUUUUUAGGCUCUGAAGCCCUACACGUCUUCAUAUGUGCAUUUUGUGGCGGGGGGAGAGAGACCAGCAUUUGACCCCGUUUCCUUCCCUGUGAGUGAAAAUGAAAAUGUGUUUCCAAGUCUUUUAUAUCCUUAUUUACUGCUGUGCAUUCUUGCUGUGUGUUAUAUUCCCCCUUUCUCUCUCACACACACGCAUACUAGGAAGCAGGAAGAGGAAUUUACAAACCGCACUGUGGUGAAACCUGUCAAAUAAUUUGAUUUUUAUCCUCUUCACAGAUUCACACACCGCCAAGGAAUUUUCAGUGGAUGAGAUGUUGUACCCAUAUCUCUGAAGACAAGAUAGAGGGCGUUUUAAAUGUGUGAAGAUGAUGAAGAUAAAAUAAAAUGUGGGUGGG